rnacentral:rRNA from 1 species
AGAGUUUGAUCAUGGCUCAGGACGAACGCUGGCGGCGUGCCUAAUACAUGCAAGUAGAACGCUGACUACUUUAGCUUGCUAGAGUAGAAGGAGUUGCGAACGGGUGAGUAACGCGUAGGUAACCUGCCUACUAGCGGGGGAUAACUAUUGGAAACGAUAGCUAAUACCGCAUAACAGUGUUUAACACAUGUUAGAUGCUUGAAAGAUGCAAAUGCAUCACUAGUAGAUGGACCUGCGUUGUAUUAGCUAGUUGGUGGGGUAACGGCCUACCAAGGCGACGAUACAUAGCCGACCUGAGAGGGUGAUCGGCCACACUGGGACUGAGACACGGCCCAGACUCCUACGGGAGGCAGCAGUAGGGAAUCUUCGGCAAUGGGGGCAACCCUGACCGAGCAACGCCGCGUGAGUGAAGAAGGUUUUCGGAUCGUAAAGCUCUGUUGUAAGAGAAGAACGUGUGUGAGAGUGGAAAGUUCACACAGUGAUGGUAACUUACCAGAAAGGGACGGCUAACUACGUGCCAGCAGCCGCGGUAAUACGUAGGUCCCGAGCGUUGUCCGGAUUUAUUGGGCGUAAAGCGAGCGCAGGCGGUUUAAUAAGUCUGAAGUUAAAGGCAGUGGCUUAACCAUUGUUUCGCUUUGGAAACUGUUAAACUUGAGUGCAGAAGGGGAGAGUGGAAUUCCAUGUGUAGCGGUGAAAUGCGUAGAUAUAUGGAGGAACACCGGUGGCGAAAGCGGCUCUCUGGUCUGUAACUGACGCUGAGGCUCGAAAGCGUGGGGAGCAAACAGGAUUAGAUACCCUGG